AUUGUUUUGAAAGAAAAAAAAACAAAAAAAAAAAACUGUUCUUAUCAGUUUAAUACCUGAUACGUCCUCCAUUCGAGGACUUUAUAUUAAACAGAUUUUUAGAGCCAGGAACAGGAAGAGGGGCUUGCUCCGUCCGCUCCAUGCAUCGACCUGGUACUGCAGUACCUAAAGGUGCCCCUUUU